rnacentral:lncRNA from 10 species
ACCUAUAAUACCUAAUACAAUAUAAAGGCUAUGGAAAUAGUUGUUAUACUAUAUUUUUUCAUUUGUGUCAUUUUUAUUGUUAUUUUUAAUUUUUUAGAAUAUUUCCAAUCCAUGGUUGGGUGCGGAACCUGCGGAUACAGAGGACUGACUAUAAUAUCAAGAGAUCAUAAGGCUGUCGGAAUGGACUCUUUGUGGCAAUAAGAUACCAUAUUAUAAACAGGACCCAAGGUCAUGCCAGGAGGCUCGUGUGGUCCCUGUUUGUCAUCCAGUCAAUACGGCCAUCAGCUUCUGGCCCCAGACACCUUUCCUCUGCACUGUGGCACAGAGGAGCAGACUGCUUUGGAGGGCAGCUUCCUGGGAGCUCCAGGGACCCUGGCCAGGCGGCCACUGCCACUGACUUCCUCGGCUCACUGAGCCCGUGCCUGCAGCUCUCGUGUUUCCUCUGUGCUGCAGUGGACGCUUAUCUUCCCCCGAUGGCACAUUUCUUUGUCACAGACAGGACCCUCACUGGCAGUCGGAGGACAUCAAGCCCUAGUACAGGAAGGGACAUUUUCACACUAAUCUGUGCCAGCUGGAGCAGUCCUGCCAUCUGAACAUCAUAUUUUGGAACCCUGAGAAGCUAGGAUGCAGUUAACAGCUAGAUGUCAAUUCCCUGCAGGCAGAGACCAGUUCUCUGCUGCCAUGUCUUUAAGGCCUGAUGCACCAUAGAUUAAUUCAAAUCCAGUGUCUACCACUCACUCGGCUUAAUGUAAGACAAGAUGAAGACUCCAGACUUCAGAACUUCAGUGUCCAGGGAAGGGGCUGAAAUACCAGACUGCGAUGUACCAUCUCUUGGUUGCUAUGACUGAGGCCAUUAAAAUGGCAGGCAUUAAAAGACUGCACCUCAGUACCCAGCUACAAAGCCUCAAGGUCACUGCAUUCCACAGCUUCCCGUCGCCUUUCAUUCCUGGCCUCAGAGCUUCAAUAUCCUGGCGAGAUCCCCUCGCAUUAUAUUUCAUGAGGCUUAAAUGCAAGCUCUCCCACAGCAAGCCCGAGAGUAUAAUGGGGGUUUUAAUACAUUCCUUUUACCUAAGGCUGGGAUCCAUUUCAAAAAGUUACCCAAUAGGUUUCCUUUCAGGUGAGCUCAUUGCUCUGACAUUCCAAAAUGACAUUAAAAAAUAAAUCCUCUGAUGACUAUAUUAAUACAGUACCUGGGACACUGAGAGUUAUGCCGGAAAACGUCUUAGAUGUCUAUAAAUAAAUCUUAGAAAAAAAACCCAGCAGGAGGAAUGUGAGGAGCUAAUGGAAUUCAAAAGGCCUCAUUGCUACCCCCUUAGAGUUGAAAUCCACUCCGGGCCGACUGUCGCAGCAGAUAUAAAAAGCCAGCCACAGGCUGAAGCUGUAUUAGAAAAUACUGAGGCAAUAGAAUAUUAAUCUUUUUCUCCAAAGAAAAGCCACGGACUAUGCUCCUUGGAAGAUGGCUUCCUUUGCUAUAAGAAGUACACUAAUUAAACAUGUACAAGGUUAAAUCCUGGCAACAUGCAGCUGCUUCAGGGAUCAGUCCUUCUUGACUUCAGGUGGGAGGCAUUCCCCGCAGAGGCAAGAUAUACAUGAGGCAGUGUGGGGAGAAUGACGUCAGCCUCCCAAACUGGCACAAGGACCUGUGUGUGGCCUUAGGAUCAAAAGCGUCCUUCUUUCUGCUUUCCUAAAAACAUAUCUUGAAAUUGCCUUUUAUGCCUCAACCCAUCUUCCUUGAGAUGCCGUUUCUCCAAGGAAGUGCUCUGUGCCCUCUCAGCCUUGCAGGUCUGGCUGUGUCAAGUGCCACUGUGCACUACUGAGGGACUGGAGGAACUGAAAAGCAUUUUGGUCAUAGGAGGGAAUAGCCACGGGAGAAGUCAGGCCUCAGACACUCUUGUUUGAAUAUGGAUGUUUGAGCCUUAGCUGGUAGAAUAAAACACUCUUUCAGAGUUUGAAAUAGUUUUACUGCAAAUGGAGUGGAAAGCGAAGUUUCCAAGGUUUUAUAAACAACCUGAUAUAAACACAGCAGUGUUGUAGGUCAAAGCAGAUGUGGUGAACAGAACUUACAAAGACAUAUAUGUGUAUCAGUUUAUUUUUUCCACGUUCAUUUCAACCUCAGCAGAGCUAGCAACACUAACACUCCCCAGUGGCAGAGCCAACAACAGGGCUCUAGAGGCUCCAAACUUGGGGUCCUCUUGGGUGUCCUUGGAUAGAAUUCAAGGGGUCCAUAAACUAGAAUAGAAAAAAUUAUAUAUUUUCACUAGUCUCUAGCUGAAAGAUAAUGUUUACUUCAAUUAUGGAUGUAGAAAAAUCCCUAUAGUGUUAGUACUACUGUGAUUUUCUCAAUAGAAAUCAUGAUAUUUUCACAUCAAUUACAGUUGUAGAUAUAAAUCUGUAAUAUACCUGUAGCAUCUGUUUCACUGUAAAUAUAUAUUACAUAUAAUAUAUAGAGAUGAUUCCCCUUGAAAUUCGAAGUAUUUUAUUUUACUUAUUUGAAACCAUUCUAAGAGGAGACUCGUAGCCUUCUUCAGGUUGCUAAAGGGGUCCAUAUACAAAAAUGGUUAGGAGUCCCUGUACUAGGGAAACUUCCCAGCAGAAUGGAGCAAGUCGUGUCCUAAGACACUAUCUACACUACUGAAAUCCUCCAUUUUGGCUAAAUGACAAAGCACUGGCAAAAGAGUCAGAAGGACUGCGUUCUGAUCUCUAACUUAUUGCAUGUCCUUUGGCAAGAAAGACAUUCAAGCUUCUUGCUAUUCAUAAGAACACAGCUACUCAUGCUUACAAUGUGCCAGGUGCUCUGCUAACUACAUUUGGUUGCCACAAUGAUGGUUCAGUCAACAACAGACCACAUGUAUGACAGUGGUCCUGUAAGAUUAUAAUAUCAUAUUUUUACUGUAUUUUUCUAUGUUUAGAUAUGUUUGAAAUACACAAAUACUUACCAUUGUGUUACAAUUGCCUACAGUAGUCAGUAGAGGAACAUGCUGUACAGGUUUGUAGCCUAGGAGCAAUAGGUUACACCAUAUGGCCUAGGUAUGUAGUAAGCUAUACCAUCUAGGUUUGUGUAAGUACACUCUAUGAUGUUCCCUUAAUGAGGAACUCACAUAAUGAUGCGUUUCUCAGAAUGCAUCCCUCUUUGUAAAUAUUACUUCCUGUAGUCAUUACAGCAACCUUCUGUGGUUCUAUUGUAAUAUUUAUUUUGCAGAUAAGAAAAUUAAACCUUAGAACUGUUAAGUAAUCCAUCCACAGUCCUAUCCAGCUAGGAAGCAACAUAAAUGAAAACUUUCUCCAAAGCUAUUAGAUAUCAUAGUCUAGCAAGCUAGGAUAACAAUUCCUGCCCUACUUACCUCGUAGGAUUUUUGUGAUGCUCAAAUGAAUAAUAGAUACAUUAGAUUUAAACAGUACUUCCCACCCUUCAAAACAAGUUAUGAAUAUUUUAAAAUGAUUGUUAUUGAGAUUUUCAAGUAUAGCAAAAUGUUGAGUUUUGGAAAUAACCAGUGAAAAGACAAGAUGCUAUCAAAGAGACUUUUGAAUUACAUUUCAUAUUUAAGUGGCAAUAUAAUUAUUACAAGGAAUAGCUGAUGGACUGUAUAAGGAUCUAUGUUAAUGCUAGAUAAAAAUGGAAUCAAAUUUAUGCUUGUUAGUGUUGUGCUACACGGCUUGAUAAGUUUUUCUCAUAAGUAAAUAAAAUAUGUGCCCUUCAAUCUGGCUGUAGGCUUUUAAUUUAUUUGGAAACUUUUAUCUCCUACAAGGUUUUACGGAAAGAGAAAAUUUAGUCCAUUUGGCCAGGUGAUAUCAAGACCCAGAAAAAUAUGGCUUGACCAGCUGUCCAGAAUUAUGGCCUCUCUCCUCCUUUCCUCAGUGGCUCUAUUGAAUUUCUGUGCAGGGUAGAGGGAUCUCUGCAGAGACAUUCUCACCUUGACAUCUCAGGGUCCACUUACCUGACUAACGAUGAAGAAGAUGACAGUCAUGGCAGCGCAGGCCAAGGUGAUAAGCAUGAGGAACUUGAACCUAAAAAUUA